AGGGUUGCUGGAGGUAUCAGAAGUGCGAAUGCUGACAUAAGUAACGAUAAAGCGGGUGAAAAGCCCGCUCGCCGGAAGACCAAGGGUUCCUGUCCAACGUUAAUCGGGGCAGGGUGAGUCGACCCCUAAGGCGAGGCCGAAAGGCGUAGUCGAUGGGAAACGGGUUAAUAUUCCCGUACUUGGUGUUACUGCGAAGGGGGGACGGAGAAGGCUAUGUUGGCCGGGCGACGGUUGUCCCGGUUUAAGCGUGUAGGUGUGUGUUCCAGGUAAAUCCGGUUCACUUUAACACUGAGGCGUGAUGACGAGGCACUACGGUGCUGAAGCAACAAAUGCCCUGCUUCCAGGAAAAGCCUCUAAGCAUCAGGUAACAUCAAAUCGUACCCCAAACCGACACAGGUGGUCAGGUAGAGAAUACCAAGGCGCUUGAGAGAACUCGGGUGAAGGAACUAGGCAAAAUGGUGCCGUAACUUCGGGAGAAGGCACGCUGACACGUAGGUGAAGUGAUUUACUCAUGGAGCUGAAGUCAGUCGAAGAUACCAGCUGGCUGCAACUGUUUAUUAAAAACACAGCACUGUGCAAACACGAAAGUGGACGUAUACGGUGUGACGCCUGCCCGGUGCCGGAAGGUUAAUUGAUGGGGUCAGCGCAAGCGAAGCUCCUGAUCGAAGCCCCGGUAAACGGCGGCCGUAACUAUAACGGUCCUAAGGUAGCGAAAUUCCUUGUCGGGUAAGUUCCGACCUGCACGAAUGGCGUAAUGAUGGCCAGGCUGUCUCCACCCGAGACUCAGUGAAAUUGAACUCGCUGUGAAGAUGCAGUGUACCCGCGGCAAGACGGAAAGACCCCGUGAACCUUUACUAUAGCUUGACACUGAACAUUGAGCCUUGAUGUGUAGGAUAGGUGGGAGGCUUUGAAGUGUGGACGCCAGUCUGCAUGGAGCCGACCUUGAAAUACCACCCUUUAAUGUUUGAUGUUCUAACGUGGACCCGUGAUCCGGGUUGCGGACAGUGUCUGGUGGGUAGUUUGACUGGGGCGGUCUCCUCCUAAAGAGUAACGGAGGAGCACGAAGGUUGGCUAAUCCUGGUCGGACAUCAGGAGGUUAGUGCAAUGGCAUAAGCCAGCUUGACUGCGAGCGUGACGGCGCGAGCAGGUGCGAAAGCAGGUCAUAGUGAUCCGGUGGUUCUGAAUGGAAGGGCCAUCGCUCAACGGAUAAAAGGUACUCCGGGGAUAACAGGCUGAUACCGCCCAAGAGUUCAUAUCGACGGCGGUGUUUGGCACCUCGAUGUCGGCUCAUCACAUCCUGGGGCUGAAGUAGGUCCCAAGGGUAUGGCUGUUCGCCAUUUAAAGUGGUACGCGAGCUGGGUUUAGAACGUCGUGAGACAGUUCGGUCCCUAUCUGCCGUGGGCGCUGGAGAACUGAGGGGGGCUGCUCCUAGUACGAGAGGACCGGAGUGGACGCAUCACUGGUGUUCGGGUUGUCAUGCCAAUGGCACUGCCCGGUAGCUAAAUGCGGAAGAGAUAAGUGCUGAAAGCAUCUAAGCACGAAACUUGCCCCGA
rnacentral:rRNA from 1 species